rnacentral:rRNA from 1 species
UACGAAGGGUGCAAACGUUAUUCGGAAUCACUGGGCGUAAAGGGUGCGUAGACGGUAUGUUAAGUUCGUCGUUAAAGGCUCCGGCCUAACCGGAGUACCGCGAUGAAAACUGGCGCACUAGAGGGUGAGAGAGAGAAGUGGAAUUCCUGGAGUAGCGGUAAAAUGCGUGGAUCUCAGGAGGAACACCAAUGGCGAAGGCAGCUUCUUGGCUCAUUCCUGACGUUGAGGCUCGAAAGCGUGGGGAGCAAACAGG